UUCAAUAAUGUUAUUGGUCCCCCAUGUGCAGAAGGGCGCGCGCGUAUGGAAUAACAAGUAGGGACACUGCAACUAAUCUACUCUGCUCGUCCAGUCCCUAGCCUAUAAAUAGAUGCCAUGCUAGCUCUUGUUGUGCUCACAAUUAAUCCGAUUACACACGAGCUUCUCUCCCUGGCCAAGACACAACCAUAGUAUGAUGAAGAACAUGGCACUAGCCGGCAAUGGUAUGAAGAAGUUAAUCCUCGCUGUUCUCUUACUGUGUCUAGUUAUAGGGCAGAUACAAGUGGAAGCUAAGAGCUGCUGCCCAUCCACCACUGCAAGAAAUGUCUACAAUACCUGCCGUUUCACGGGUACAUCCCGUCCAACGUGUGCAAAACUGUCAGGCUGCAAAAUUAUCAGCGGGAACAAAUGCAAGCCCCCUAACGACCACCUCACCCUUGACCCGGACACUGGUAAAUAAUAAAUUUAUCUCACUUGAUUUCUUCGUGAUUUGAGUCGUUAAUGUAUUUUCCAUCUGAUGAAACGUAUUGGUUUUGCAUUGAAGAGGAAGUUAAUGUGCUUAACUUCUGCAAGUUGGGGUGUGCGUCGUCUGUGUGCAACAACAUCAACGCUGGUAAGCAACUUUUGCUCAGACAGAGAAAACAAUAAUCAUUAAUUAGCGGCAGCUAGAAUCCUAUAAUCUAAUAUAUAUAUAUAUAUAUAAUUUUAUCAGCUCUGGGAAAUGAAGAGGCGAACGAUGCCGUUGAGAGUUGCGACCAAGCCUGCUCUAGCUUCUGCAGCGUGCAUGUUGGCAGCGCCACCGUGGUUGCUUAAGCAAAUGCAUCCAACUAGAUCGUCCUUGUGCUGAAUAAUUGGAUAUCGUAUCCACUUAAAGCUGCCUUGUGUAGUACGUCUUUGUGUCUCUCUUUAUAUUCCAAUAAGGUCGGUGAUCUUGAUGCCACACACUCAGAUGUGUGUUCAUCUCCAGAUACUACUCCAUGCUACCUGCCCUUUGUGUUUUGUUCAAUAACUGGGUAUCAUAUCCCAGCCAGUAUGCCGUCUGUUUUGUGUUUGUUUCCUUCUAGUUCCAAAGGGGUCAUCAUGAUGUUACCUUCUUUCAAUAUGGUGCUUUGCAUGACUACUGUUGUAUGGUACCAUCUUGUGGCCAAUAAGUACAUCUUAUCCUAUGACCUUUGCUAUGACCCUUUGCAAAUAAGUAGAAGAUUGUUAUAAGCGUCAAUACUCCGUAUAAAUUGAUCGCUGCUGUGAGUUCCCUUUCAGCUUAUCGUAGGCAUACAUUAUUGCUAGCACGGUAAAGCCAACCAACACGAAUGAUGAAGUAAACGUAGCGGUACUUCUGUAUACCAACACCCUUACUUAAAUGUACCGGUGUCAUUCCCUACUGGCACAUAUAUUCUUAUAUGCUAGCCAGCUUGUAAAAUUAACCAAUUAAAAUAAUUAUUUCAAGAUAGAAAUAACUUAUCGGUUUCUGGAAGCAUGUGUAAUGUGAAUUCAAGGACUCGACGGAAGUUGAAUCACUUCAUCUAUAUUGCUUUCAGUAUUUUGGGUAACUAAAUUUAACAUUUGCACAUACAAAUGUUAAAGUACAAAUGUUAAAUCUAGUUACCCAAGCAGAAUAUGAAGAUAGUUUAUAGUAUAUAUAUACUAUAUAAAUCUAGUUAACAUUUAGUCUAAAUGUUAAAUCUAGUUACCUAAAAUCCUGAAAGCAAAAUGUAUAAAUAUAUAUCUUUUAAGGCAGUAUAAGCUUCGAUUCCUAUUGCUGCUCUGUUAAAUCUCAUCUUUCGUUGUGGCCCAACACUCUAGUAUGCAUGUUGCACCAAGCUUCUUUGAGCCGCUCUGCCCUCUGAUUUUGCUGCGUAGGGGAAUCUUUAUCAGGUUGGGCUACUUCCAGUUGUGCGAUGUAAAGAUUCGUAUUUUCUAGAAGGUAGACAAAAAACUCGCGUUCUCUUAAGGCAACAACCGGAAGAUUCUGCAGCGCACAGGGCAUACCAUUAUUGUAGAAACGACCUUUAGUACCGAUCUCCAACCCCCUUUAAAACUGGUUUUGCAACCGGUACCGUUAUGUCGGUCCUUUAGUACCAGAUCAAAUAAGUACCGGUUGGUAACCAGUAUCAACUUGUUUUGCGGCCAAAAAAAUAAAGAAAAAAACAGUCAGAAGGCUCGCGCACACGCGCAUCACAUGAAAUAUGCGUGUGCGGGGUCCAUGGGAUUCGAACCCAUGAAAUCAAGCUGCGCGCGACCCUUCGUUACCAUCUCACCUACAUAGCGCAUAUGCUUUCCUGAAGUAACCCGUGGAGGAGGCUUUAGUACCGGGUCAUAACACCACCCGGUACUAAAAAUGACUCUUCAGUACCGGGUCAUAACACCACCCGAUACUAGUAUCGGAUGGUGUAAUGACCCGAUACUAAAAGGCCUCUAGGGACCCUCAAAUUUGAACCCGGUACUAAUGCUAAUAUUAGUAGCGGGUCAAAGUGCAGCCAGAACUAAAGCAUGGGAUGAAAGGUCAUAUUUCUAGUAGUGUAUAGUUGUUGUGAAGGACUGACUUGGCUGUCCUCUCUCUUCUCCAUCCCCUUGGUCUUACGCCGCCGCUCGCACGCGAGCCGGUGCCCAACCAGAGGAGUGAGAGCUAGGGGCAGGUUGGGAGGUGGGGAUAGUGACUGGUGGCCAGGGUGAUGGUUGAUCCUGGUGGGGUUAGGGUUUUAGGGUUUUCGAGCUUCCUAUGGUCGGCGAACCUAGAGGAGGAGCUCAACAUCAGCUGCAACCCGCGAUGGUGGUGGUUUGGCCGGCGCCCGAGGCGAGGCAGCGCGGGAGUGCUGCCGGUGGGUUGGUGUUGGCACUCAUUAUUGACAACUAUUUUGUUCAUAAAAUAACACUCAAACUUGCUGCUGCUGCUGCUGCUGCCAUCGCCACCCUAGCCAUAAUAUAAAGGCAAAAUUUGCUAAAGGACAUGCAAAAUGAUGCUAGUUUGCUGGCGGGCAUCGUUGACCUUGUAAUAUGCUACAAGACACUCUAGUUGUGUAUCAAUUUGCUGAAAGACAUUGCUAUGACUAAAAUAAUGUUUCUGGACUGAGUUGGAGAGAGAGAUGGAGUGAAAUGUCUGUUUUGCCCAUGACCCCACUGGUCAGAUCCUUCUUCUUCCACCCUCCUUUGUUCUUUCUUCAACCAUUACCCAGCUCCAGCGUGUUGCAGAUCUACGAGGGUGGCGGCCUGGGGCGAGGGGCAUCGCUCGCCCUUGGAGGAGCGCUGCGAGCGACGGCGCGGGGGCGGCAACAGCGCGUCAGAACCUGACUGUUCGUUAGCUCCUCUCGCUGCUGGGGAAGGAGGGGGAUGGGCCAUGGACGGGGUUCCCUUGAAAACCUCAGCGUCGAGCUCGGGCGGCUACGCGCAGGCAGCACUAGGCUGCUUCACGGGGAGGGGGCGCGGCCAAUCAUUGGCACCCCACUGGUCCAAUGCUGAUGAAGAUGGUGCCAGCGUCGUGUGAGGACAUCUCAUCUCCUCGAGUUCCAUGGCCAGCACAGGUGAGCUGCCGCUACCACAAAACAGAGGUUUCGUGAGAGUCAAAAAACCUUAUGAAAAUAGCUAAAACCAUCAUGAAAAUAAUCCGUGACAUGACACUCUCACGAAAAUCCUCUCACAAAUAUGGUGCCAUGAAAAUACCAUUUUCAUGAGAGUGAACUGUCAUGAUUUUAUUUCGUGAGAGUAUUUCCUAUCAAUGACCUCCACGAAAUACUUUGUGCCACCAGGUCUUCAAGAUCAUUUUCAUGAGAGCUGAACAUCAGGAAAAGUCCGCCACAAAUGUUUUUCUUGGAGCCCCUAACUCUCAUGAAAAUCAUGCGGGCCGCCACGAAAAACAGCAUGACCAAAUGACAAAUUUCAUUUUCAUGUGUUCAUACCGCCAUGAAAAUGGUCAUUUUCAUGAGAGUUGAUGAAACAAAAAAUAGUGCCAUUUUCAUGAGAGUUCAAGCAACCAGGAAAAGACACUAAUAAACAUCCAGAUCCCAUCCAGCACACAUCCAUGCACAUAUAUAACCCACAUAUUGCUCCAGCACACAUCCAUGCAUAUACAAGAUCCAAAUGUUAAUAUAGUAGACAUCCAUGCCUGAACUAGUCUGCCACACAAGUCAUUGAUGCUACAAAUCCUACAAUCGCAGCAUGUGCAUACAAGUCACAGAAUGAGACAAUGUACCCAAAACUAAAAGGUUAGCAUCAACUGUGCUUCAACCAAAGUUGUCAUCCCAACUCUCCUCUUCAUCCAUGCCAUUCUUGUCGUGGCCGUCACUGUCAGUCCCCAUGGCAUUGCCAAUGCUGUGCAUGUCUUGGUAGGAACCUACAUGUGAUGAACUAGUAACCUGCAAAAAGAGCUCAAAGGAUCUUGUUCUCAUAUUGUAGCUGUGAAAUUCUUACAAGUAGUGUUGCAAUCAGUUCACUUUGAACCAAAAGAGCUCAAAGGAUCUUGUCCUAAAAGUUCCUCAUAAAGCUUAUGGGUUUGCUGGUGGAACUGGAAGGGCUUGAUGCAGCAGAUGCCAUUCUGCAAUAGAGAAAAAUUUAGAGAGCAGUACUAGUUAAAAUUGGAUGCAGAAGAUACACAUGAAACUAGUAUUUAUACAAGUCUAUACAAUUAAAAUCUAAGGAGACUUAUCAUCGUUUUCAUGUGUUGUGAAUUAAAAUAAUGAAGGAUACACUGUUAGGUGAAAAUUCAAGAAACAAAAUUUUGCAUAGAGAUAAAGGUCCAACAUUAUUACAAGUUAAGGUAGUUUUAAAUAUCCUUGUAAUCUUCCUUUGGUUUCCUCAACGAUUCGAAGACAAUAACCUUGCUUCUAUCAAUGAUAAUUAUAAGGAGAAUCCAGUGGAAACUGUGUAUUCGUAUUAGAACUACCUAAGGUUAAUUAGGUUAGGAAAGGAAAUUGAAAAUAGAUGGUACCCACACUUACUUAAAGUUGUCGGGCAAUAGUAUGUAAUGCUUGUAAUUCCGUUGCUCCAAGAAUUUGUAUAUGUGGUCCAAUGUAGACUUUGGUUGAUCCCGUAUCUGCUGUUGGUUAAAUAAGUGUUUCUAGCCAUUUCUAGCCAUUAGAACCGGGACUAAAGGGGGCUCUUUAGUACGGGUUGAUAUUACUAACCGGGAUUAAAGAGCCCCCAUUAGAGUUGGUUUUUGGAUGCGGAACUAACAACUCCUUUAGUCCUGAGUACGAAAACAACUGACAUAUUUGUUGCUGGAUGGAAGGUCCUUUCUCUACCGUGAAUAUUGCCAGAAAGAAUUGAAAGAGACUGCUUGCUAAAAAUAUGUCAUAGAUGUAGACCAAGCUACCAAGGAGGUAGACCAAACAUGAUACACACCAUGCGUACCUUGCUGUGCAGACUAUGCAUUGACAAGAUACCCGACCACAUGUUGGCCUCGGUCACAUCAAAAGAAUCAUGUAGGCCACCAAUAAACUACUUGAAGCGGCAUUCCGUAUCGUAUAUGCAUUGCCGGUUCAUCUGCAUUACAUUACAUAAAGCACUAUUAACUAUUUGAAUAAAAUGAACCAAUUUAAAAGUAAUGUGUUGUACUCUACUAUAGAAAGCCCUAUCACUGCCGGAUCCAAAAACAUCAUUGUUAAUGGUGGUUAAGUACCAAAUAUGACGGUCAAUAUUCUCAAGAAUAAUGGAGAAUUAGCAUUUCUUAGACACAUAUUUGGUUUUGAACAAUGUAGUUCCACAUGUCUUUGGAGAUUAUUUGGGUGUGGGUGAAAUAAUACAAAAAUAAGGAGAAAACACACUCCCAUGGCGAAGAAACACAACUCCAACCAAUGAGAGAUAGCCACAGGGGCAGCACACGGAUCCAUGGGCCCACUAACCGCAUCAAACCAUCUUACCAAGGCAGGUAGCACCCACAACCGUCAUUAGGACCCACCUGGAAGUCUACCAAGAAGAAGGUUGCGAGUGGGGCCAGGAGGGGUUCGGUUGAAUCAUCUCUAGCUAGCUCCCCUCAUCCCCAGCUGGUGGGUGGUGGUGGUUGAUGGUGUCCCUACAUCAGUUAGAGGAGAUUCCCCCAAAUAUUCCUCCUGUAAACCACCUCUAUGGACCUAUACAUAGAGGGGUGUGCUCUCCAUUCCAACACACACCACAAGUUGAAUCACUCUCUCCCUCUUUAGUUUCCAAGUUUAUGGAGUUAGGCUAGAGUAGCUCUGCUCAAGGUUCCAAGUCCACUUGGAGUUAAGCAUAUGUCUCUUGUAUCGUUAUUUCCUAAAUUGACUUUAUGCUUAGUUCUUAUAUGCAUGAGUUAGUCUAAUACCCUUGCUAUAUUGAUAUGCUCGGCUUAUAUGCUCGUAUGCUAGUCAUAUACCCUUGCUGUCGUAGUAUAGGCUUAUAUGCUCUCAUGUGUGCCUGUAGACCUUGCUAUAGUAUAUACUUGUUGUGCAUACAUACCAUGUAUAGGCUAGUCGAUCUAUACCAUGGCAUUGGUUCAAUAGCCAUGUUUUUGGUGGCUCCAACCCUAGUCACAAUAGCUCGGGACAGCUGGAGUGUUGUUAAAAAUGCAAGAGUGGUGCUUGGGUUGUUUAGCAUCGUUGGAUAUGGGUUUGCCCCACGGGUUUCUAACGGUAGGCGGCAGCUAGUGACAUCCCUGUCCGUCCUUCGUAAUCCCCCCACAUUCAGGUACGCCAUAAAUGUUCGUAAAUUAGCAGUAACUACGCCGGUACACCUGUAGGGUAUUGUCUCCCUGUAGUACCUUGGUGCAUAGAACUAAGUCCUAUACACUGUGUGUGUAUGUUUACGCUGAUAUGAUCUGUGCAGUAUAUAGGAUGUAUAUAUGAACCUAGAGCUAACUCCUAGUCCGUUCUCCAUAGCUUAGUUAUCUUGAGAUGAUUCUUCUGUAUGUGUAACACUACCCAUCUUAUCAUUAUCCUUGAUCCUGUCUUGUGUAAUAUAUCUACUCAUCCUAUGAUAUACUCAUAUGCAUAGUAAACUAUUUUGACCUACCCGCCUUCCUUUGGGAAAUAUGAUACCUUGGAAUAAUCCUAGGUGAAAUCCUACAACGGUAUAUCCAUGUAAAUGCGGAUUUAUUCAUGACCAUUAAAUAUACCAACAAUCAUCACUGUGAGUUUUGGGCGUCGUUAGUGAAGGGUUGGUAGUGAUGGGCAUCCCCUUCACCAAUGGACCUGGAACCGGCGGUGAUGGCUAUUAUAAAAAAGGGGACACCACCCAGCGUACCCCACGACCCGGCCGGCCGCACCUCCCAUCAUCCCCGCCAGCCGCCCUUCCUUUUCGCCGGCCGAGCAUGGUCCCGGCCUUUGUCCCUACCACCUCGCCUCCACCGCGACCCCCCGCCGAUGCCCUCGUGCCUGGCCCCCCUCAUCUUGCCGGCCACCCUCCCGAUGCGUCCACUGGGGCCCUCGCACCACCAACCGCCCUUGCUUAGAGAGGGAGAGAGAGGAGGGAGGUGAGGCCACGCACCUCGUCCUACACCGCCGCUGUUUCUCCUCGGCCCACCGCGCCUCACCCCACACCACAGCCGCGCCUUGCCAUCUUACCGGCUGUGACGCCUCAUCUCACCGGCCACCGUUCCUCACCCCCACUUCGGUCGUCGCCGCUCCUUGCCCUACCGCUGCUCUUUGCCGCUGCGAAUGAGCGCCGAGUGGAGGAGGAGGGAUGGGGCAGGAGGAGGGCAAGAUCCGGGAGGAAGGGAGAGAUCUCGGGAGGUGGAGAUGGAAGGAUAUGGCGGAAGGGAGAGAUCCAGAGGGAGAGAGCAGGGGAGAGAGGGGGGCGUGUGGGGAGAGAGCGCGUGUGGGGUGGGGCCGGGCUGGUGGGAUGGAAGGGAGAGGGGCUAGACGGGCGCAGUGCAUUCAACUGGAUGAAGUAAAUAUUUUGGAUUCGAGACCCCAGCUUUAUUAUCACCGCUGGUCCGUAGUACCAUCCGGUGCCUGCUCGUAAUUUAAUUUGAAUCUGCGGUGAUGUUUUAUUAUCACCAUCGGAUCAUAUAAAAAUCCGGCGGUUAAAAAUCCGCUGGUUUCGAUGAAAACCGACGGUGAUAGGAUGACUGUGAUAGUCUCUUCUCUAGUAGUGGUAUAUUAGUACCGGCUGCCGGAUGGUGUUGCCGACCAGUACUUCUCCGGGGGCGAUUCAGUACUGCUGUUAGCAAAGCUUGUUCUCUAUGAAUUUGGGGAUGGAAAGCUAGUUCUCUAGUUGUGAUUUGUUACAUAUAUAUCUAUGAUAGUCUAGAAAUUGCAUGUCCUUCGUUGACAUAGUUGAAGCUGCUUCAAGAAUUUACUUCGUGCAGUCGUGCAGCAUAUUGGAUUAUCACCUAGACAGGAUACAUAGGUGAAGCAUUGGAUGUGAUUGUGGCCGAUAAUUAUGCAGGACGCUGUUGCAAUCAACCACCAAGAAGUCUGGAGUGAUGGGGUUGCCUCAUCAAUAAUUUUUAUAUAUGGCUGCAGUAUUAUUAAGCCCACGUCAAUAAUUUUUUGUCCGCACCAUAUAUCGAUGGGGUUGCCUCAUCAAUAAUUCGCGCAACCAGACAAGCUGCAGACUCAAUAUGGUACGAAGCUAGUUGCUCAGCCCACAUGCUCUGAUAUAACAUUGACAUCUGCUGAUCUACAGUAUAUAUGACCAGAAAUAUUGUGCCCACCUCAAUAACUUUCUGAAGUAUCGUGGGGAAGAACCUACGCGUACUAUGCCUCGGAACUAACUGACAUAUCGGCCCAGGCGGUCUAGGCCGAUUGGACUGGCUCUUCCUUGUGGCUUCUCACAUCCCCUUCGUCCCCAAGUAAUUUCAGGUGUUCUGUAGUUUUCUUUUCACUUGCAUCUGAGCCUCCUAUAUCAAUAGCUUCGGGAUAAGAAUGCCUCUUGAUAACCUUCCAAAUCCUCGCUUGAUUCACAUUGAUUCCGAAAUCAUCUUGCCAUAUCUUCAGAGACUUAGGUCCUAAGGCAUCAUGGAGGAUUGCUCGCCAAGAAUGAGCACCAUUGGGCUCCUGAGGACCCUAGGCCGAUCAGCCCGGGCUCUAUAGGUCGAUUGGCCCAGGCCCUCUCUGGGCCUGUUGGCCUUCAUCUUUCUUUGAGUCGACGCUUAUUCAGGGCUUUGUCCAAUUAUAGUCCAUUAUAGUCUAAUUUCCUAAAAAACAGAAUGUCCUCCAAAAUACAAUGCAUAUGUGAAAACAACCCAAUUAUUAGGUAUGAUCAAUAGUUUAGGUAUUAAAUUAAUAUUAUUAUUUAAGAUAAACAGGGGUAAAGGGUGUCAUUAAUAACAAGCGCCAACAAGCGUCCUAGCUGUUCAAUAAAUUUUUUCUAGUACCGAUUGGUAACACUAACCGGUGCUAAUAUGUACCCUUUAUUACCGGUUAUUUUACCAGGUACUAAAGGAGACAAGAGCAUCCUAACAUAAGGUUAAUAUCAUCCAUUUCAUGAGUAAAAUACUAUGAUUCAAAAAUAAUUCAAAUCCCUUAAGACAAUACCUAUCAAAUGAGUAAAUUGUAAAUAGAGUAAUCUUGAUCAAACAAUGUCCUAAUGAAACGGAACACUUCUGGUUCGUGUAGAGCACAAUAUAGAAAACAGUAGGGUAGCUGUAUGAUUGACACGUGGUCCAUUAAUUAUUGAGCCAACACUAUGGACAUGUCUUCAUGAGUAGUGUACUAGUCAUAAUACAUGGUAUGCAGUAGGUGGAGGUAUUGACUUAGCCAUGCUAUGAGCACUUAGUUACAACAAACACUUUGCCAUUAUCGAGCAUCCCAAAUCACUACAAAAUCCAUAGUUUACCAUAUACUACAAAAUCUGAGUUAAAAUAAGAGCAUACACGGAAGAGUCCGAAUGCACGGCACAUUGAAUUACUAGACAAAAUUUAUGGGACAAGGUUUUGGGUAACCGCAUGAAAAAUAUUGGAUUUUACUGAACACUUAGUUACAAUUACCAUGCCCGUGAGCACUUAGUCACCACAAACAUUUAACCACUUUAGAUCAUCCUGAAUCCCUAUAAAUUCUAUACCUUACACCGUACCAUGAAAACGACAAGAACAGAGACAGAUGCGGUGAAAAUCUCCAGAGCAAGCCUGAAAUUAAAAUAAGAGGAGGCAGUCACUAUCGACAGGACACGGAGAUUGCUAGCCAUGACAGAGGAAGACAUGAUAUGAUAUUCACCUCUGAAAUGCAGCGUAGACUAAAUGAAGCACAAUUGCAAGUGAGUGUGGCAGAUAAUGGACCAUCGAGACCAUCGAAUGGUAUGAAGCAUGAUUAUCACCUAGACAUGAUAUCCUAGACAGGACGGUGAAUUGUAAAAAGAGUAAUCUUGAUCAAAGAAUGUCCUAAUGAAACGGAACAUUUUUGGUACGUGUAGAGCAAAAUAUAGAAAACAGUAGAGUAGUUGUACGAUUGAAACUGCAUCCAUCGACGUGGUGCAUGAAUUGUUGAGCCAACACUGUGGACAUGUCUUCAUGAACACCAUCUAGUGAGGACAGCAUGCAGAAAAAUAUAAAAACAUGUCAUAGGGAGGCAGACCAAUCUUGCGAGGUAGACGAAACGUGAUACACGAUCUGCCUACCUUGUCGUGUGGAUACCCCAAGUGAAGAUGUCAUAGAGGUGCAGACCAAGCUAGCAAGGAGGUAGAUGAAACGUGAUACACGGCCUGCCUACCUUGCCGUGGAUAUUAGUCCUGAUAUCAUUCUAUUGUUCAAGGAAUAACACUCAAUGCUGCUGCUGCUGCUGACCUGGCUCCAUAAAGUUAUAUUCCUCUAGCCGCUUGCACUAACUUUAUCUGAAGUAUUAUUCUCUCUGCACUGUAUAUAUGGUUACGGAGUUUGCUGGAGUAUCCGGGGGGAAGAACCUACAUAAUAUGUCUUGGAACUAACUGACAUUGAUUCACAGACAAGGUGCUGUUGUUGACAUGGUACAGUAAAUAAUAUAGUUUACCAUAUACCGUAUACCAUUAUAUGUUAGCUAAAAUAAGAGCAUAACAUGUCGCAGGAGUCCAAAAGCACCGGUUGAGGACCAGGUACAUUAAAUUACUAGAAAACAAAAGGGGACAAGGUUUAGGUAGCCACAUGAAAAACAUUUGAAUUUACUGUACCAUGAACACUUAGUUACCAUGCCGGGAGCACCUAGUUAACACUAACAUUUAGCCACUUUAGAUCAUCCCGAAACACCAAUGACCCUCAAUAGCGACAAAUUUUGGUUUAAAUGCCGUCACCAAUGAUCCUCAAUAGUGACGUGUUUAGGUUUAAAUCCCAUCACUAAUAACCCUUGGUAGUGACGUGUUUUGGUUUAAAUCUCAUCACCACUGAUCCUCACUAGUGACGUGUUUUUAGCAACACACGUUAUGAAUGACUUGUCAUUGGUGACAUGUUAAACGCGUUAUCUCAAUGGCAAAUCAAUGGUGACGUGUUUAAAAAAACAUGUCACUGUGAGAGUUAUUGGUGAAGGGUAAUUAAAAUGCAUCACUAAUUUUGUAGCAUUAGUUAUGAUAUAAUUUUGUAACGCAAAAAUCUACCAUAGUAAUGAGGUUUAGAGCCAUCACUAAUGUGGGUUUCUUAUCGUAGUGAUGCAAGCUCUACAAGGUGCUGUUGUUGCCAUUUUAAAGCAUCCCAAAUGACUACAAGAGUCCGGUUGAGGACUAAACAAAUUGAAUUACUAGAACCAAAUGUAUGUCCAGAACAAAGAAAGGGGUCAAGGUUUGGGUAACCGCAUUAAAAACAUUGAAUUUUACUGUACCAUGAACACUUAGUUACCAUUACCAUGCCUUGAGCACCUAGUUACCACAAACAUUAAUUUAGCCACUUUAGAGGUUCCACAAUCACUAUAAAUAAUAUACCAACACCGUACCAUGAAAACAUCAAGAAGAGAGACGGGUACAUGGACCACCAUCAAGUGAGUAGUGACAGCACGCACAAGAAUACCCGGAACCUUUUAGCUUGUCUGUAGUGAUCUGUUUUCUUCGCCACAAAUAAUGAAAGAGGCUGACCAAGCUAGCAACGAGGUAGAGCAAACGUGAUACACGUAGGUUUCAUUCAAGACAUCCAUGUAAGAUUCAUUCAAAACAUUCAUGGAAAUUUCUUGUAAGUUUUCAUGUAAAUUUCAUUCAAGACAUUUGUUAGAGGUGUUGUAUAUACACUUAACGUACAUAUAUCUAUGAUUUCAUGGUUGUUAGUGAUGGCAGAUGAGGAGCAUGCAAGGUGUUUAAUGGAGCAGAUUAUUGCUAGUGGUAGUGGCUCCAACCUGCCCGUAACGUACACCGACGAAGAGGGCAGCCAGGCGGACAUGUUCCUCAACAUGUCCGGUGAUGGCAAUGAAGAGCCCGAGCAAAACCUUGCCGUGACGGAAGGUUCCAUCGAGGUAUAUAUCAUUUCCAUUAUUUUACCCCAUCUAUAAUUUCAUAUUCAUUAUUACUAUGUGCUAAUUAAUGAAUCUUGAACCGUUAGUCCUCUAGAUCAACGAACCGAAAUAAGCCCCGAGGUCUUACAAAGAUAAUGCAGGGAAGGCUUCACAUCAUGGAAGUCACAGAAGAGGGCACAUCGGUUGCUCCCGAACAUGUGGCAAGAAAGUACGUGAGUCAAACCGGGGCAAUCGUAAGGGACAACAUGCCCAUCAGCAUCAGGGAAUGAAAGAGCAAUAGAAAUGAUCUAUACGCACCCCCGGAUACACAAAAGGAUAUGUUGUGGGCAAAUAUCAAGAAACACUUCACAUUUCCCAAAGGAUAUGUUGAAAAAUAUGUGAAAGCGUGGAUGUUGAAGAAGAUGGCCACCCAAUUCCAGACAUUCAAGAAGAUGUUGGAUGCCAACUUCAUCAAGAAGGGUCGAACUCCGGGUUUCAAUGAGUGGCCAAAGUUAAGGGACCACUGGGAGUCGUUUGUCGAAUACAAGACGAGCGAAGGUGGUGCGAGUAAGGUUCACAUCAAUGUUGCCAAUGCUAGCAAGGAGUACCAUCAUCAUCUAGGGCGACGUGGUUACAGCUCUGCAAUUCCCAGAUGGCGCAAGAUGGAACAAGACCUGAUCGAUCGGGGUAUCGUACCAGCAACUCUUGACUGGAUCGAUUGAAAAAUUGGUAUUAUGCUCAUGAAGGCAAUCUGAGCCAAGAGGAUCCGACAUUGGUCUUCAAUAAAACAAUACGUCAGAAGGUCGGAAGGCUUAUUAGGAACAUUGAAGAUGCUAAAGCUGGGAGGUUCAAGGUGGAUAGAGAGAAUGAUGAACUCACAUUGGCCCUCGGGACUGUCAUCUCUAGCACUUCCAGCUCCAGGACUAUCGUCACCACCGGGACCGUCGCUUCCUGCUCGAUCACAGUCUCCAUCUCCAGCACAUCCUGGUGGUGCGAGCGACGACGACAACAACACCCCUCCCUGCCCACCAUUGCCGGGACUAAGACCCGCAUUGAGUAAGGAACCUGCAACACCACUGAAGAAGUCGCGACCACCACCUUCAAGGCAAGUCAGCAAAAGAAGAAAGCAGAGAAGCCUAAACCCACUGAGAAGCCAGCGACUGAUAUGACCGAUGCGGAAAGAUGGAAGGCACUCAAAGAAGAAUGCAGGGAGUGGUUCAGCGAAGGCGAAGGUGAGAAAGUCGUAUGAAUCGAAUUCAAGGAUAUAUAUGAAGUGAACCAUCAGGAUGCCCUUGAUGUCUCUCUCAUCAGCGCCUAGGUUCUGUAAGUGUAUGUUUAUCUAUAAGUAAAUUUUGGCUCAUAUCAUUAUUUUUUUUGCGUGCGUCACCCUACUAACUUCGUCUUCCAUUUUAUGUAGGAUGCUAAUUCAGACGUGCCGCAUAGAAGCGUACUUCCAUGUUGGAUUCAUGGAUCCAUCCCUAGUUAACCAAAAGCCGAUACGGAAGUAGCUAGAGAAAACGUUGGAGGUGGUGUACAACCUCCUGGACAAACUAAACUACAGAAUAGGGGCAAUAUGUGAGGGUCUUGUAGGAUUCCUAGUGGACGAGGUGAUAAAUCCAUAAGGAGAAUAUCAUUCCAACGGACGAGCAUUAGACACACUGAGCAACACCUAGAUGGGAGGAUCCUAGGAAUGACCUCGACAGAUUUUGGUAUAAAUAGUAAUUGUGUAAAUACUAGUUUGAUUUGUAUAGGAAUAUACUAAGAAUUGUAUAUAUAGUAAUUGUACAAAUACUAGUUUGAUUUGUAUGAAUACUAGAUUGAUUUUAUUAUAAAAAAGUUUUAAGUCGUACGUGCAUGCGCCUACAAAGGCGCGGAUGCCUUUUAAUCCCAGUCGGAAAAACAAACUGGUACUAAAGGGGCUCGUGCCGCACCUGGCAUGACCACCCCUUUAGUCCCGGUUGAACGACCCAGGACUAAAGAUCUCCGCGUCUCAAAAAUUUUAUCUCGGAUGCUUUUUAGAGAGAUUUGAGGCCUAUCAACCAAGACUAAUAUCGAGUUUUCUACCAGUGAAACUAACUAACGUUCACAUGGUUUUGACAUUCACCUGCCAUUUGGUGUAGACAAGGGCACCCUAACAUAUGGUUAAUAUUAUUCUUGAAAGAAAAUCCUUUGAUUCAAAAUACUUCAAACCUAAUAAUACAAUACUUCUCACAUCUGAAAAAUAUGAGACGGCCCGACAGUAUUCUAAUCGACGCAAUAAUAUUUUGAGGGCAGCACUACUACAGCGACCCUCAUUCGUGCCGGUGCUGGGACUCCUAUCACGACCCUGAUACAAAUGAGGGUACAUUAUUGGUGCCAGUGCUAGAACAGCCACGAAUAACUUGCUAAACGUGCUGUUACACUCACUACAGGGACCAAGAAGGUAGAUAAAUUACACGACAUAGCCUUGGUUGCCGUGGAAGCGCCAAGAAGGGAGACAAAUUACAGGGACCACACCAUCAAGUAGAUAGUGACAAUAUGCAAAAGAAUACCCGCGCCUGUUAGCAUGUGAACUGACCACACCACGAAACGUGAUACACGGCAAGCGUACCAAGGCCUUGCUGUGCAGACUAUGCAUGGACAACACAUGGUACCUGACCGCUUUUGGCCUCAGACACAUCGAAAAACUGCAUCGUUCCACGUUGUACAUCCAUUGCUAGUUUAUCUAUAUUACAUAAUAUAUUAUUAGCUAUUUGAAUAGAAUGAACCAAUUAAAAAAUUGCGUUGUAUUUUUAGUACCGGCUGCAGGAUGGUGUUACCAACCAGUACUAAUUGGCCUGUAGGAGUGAUGGUUAUUAGACUUGGUACUGUUGUUAGCAUCAUUAACCUAAUUGUGCGCCGUAUGAAUUUGGGGAUGCAAAGCUAGCUCUCUAUGAAUGUGAGGGAUGGAAAGCUAGUUCUCUAGUAGUAAUUAUAUAUAUGACAGUCAAGAAAUCGAACACUAUGCUGCUACGAGUCACCAUCAUUUCCUUCAUUGACAAUCUGACAUAGGUGAAGCUGCUUCAAUAAUUUCCUUCGCGCAGUCGUGGAGCUUAUUGGAUUAUCACCAGGACGGGACACGGAAAUGGCCAGCAAUGAAGCUGAUUGCCGUCUGAGGAAGACUACAUACUUACCUAUGAAAUGAAGCGAUUGCAUAGACUAAUGAAGCAUUGCAUAUUUGCAUGUGAGUGUGGCAGAUAAUUCUGCAGGACAUGAUUGCAAUCCACGCACCAUCGAGAAGACUGGGGCGAUGGGGUUGCCUCAUCAAUAAUCACGUGGAUGCAUGCAUGCAUGUUCCCGCAACCGGACAAGGGUCUGAUAUAUGGCUAUAGUAUUACUGAGCCCACAUCAAUAAUUUCCACUGGUGUAUCGUGUGGGAAGAAUCAACAUACUACACCUCGAGUUCUUGGAACUAACUGACGUUCACAUGCAACCUCCACAAGGUGCUGUAUGCUUUUGACAUUCACCUGCCAGUUCGUGUAGAGAAGGACACCCUAACGUAUAGUUAAUAUUAUCCAUUUCAUGAGUAAAAUACUGUGAUUCAAAAAUACUUCAAAUCCCUUGAGACAAUACUUCUCACUUGACUAACCACUAACCAACCCCGAAACCCUAACUCAACUCCGAACCCUAACCCCUAACGGCAUAACCACUCCGUUUUGCCGGCGAGAUGGAGGAACUGGCUGGAAGGUAGAGAGGGCAGCGGUCCAGGGUUGAAAACGACGGGCGAGCGCAGUAACAUGUGGAGGAGGAAGUGCCACGUAUUCGUUCACCGCUAUUGGGCAGCGACACACGACACGCCCAAUAAGAUCUUCGCACGGUAGAAGGACGUCAUGUAUUCAAUAAUGUUAUUGGUCCCCCAUGUGCAGAAGGGCGCGCGCGUAUGGAAUAACAAGUAGGGACACUGCAACUAAUCUACUCUGCUCGUCCAGUCCCUAGCCUAUAAAUAGAUGCCAUGCUAGCUCUUGUUGUGCUCACAAUUAAUCCGAUUACACACGAGCUUCUCUCCCUGGCCAAGACACAACCAUAGUAUGAUGAAGAACAUGGCACUAGCCGGCAAUGGUAUGAAGAAGUUAAUCCUCGCUGUUCUCUUACUGUGUCUAGUUAUAGGGCAGAUACAAGUGGAAGCUAAGAGCUGCUGCCCAUCCACCACUGCAAGAAAUGUCUACAAUACCUGCCGUUUCACGGGUACAUCCCGUCCAACGUGUGCAAAACUGUCAGGCUGCAAAAUUAUCAGCGGGAACAAAUGCAAGCCCCCUAACGACCACCUCACCCUUGACCCGGACACUGGUAAAUAAUAAAUUUAUCUCACUUGAUUUCUUCGUGAUUUGAGUCGUUAAUGUAUUUUCCAUCUGAUGAAACGUAUUGGUUUUGCAUUGAAGAGGAAGUUAAUGUGCUUAACUUCUGCAAGUUGGGGUGUGCGUCGUCUGUGUGCAACAACAUCAACGCUGGUAAGCAACUUUUGCUCAGACAGAGAAAACAAUAAUCAUUAAUUAGCGGCAGCUAGAAUCCUAUAAUCUAAUAUAUAUAUAUAUAUAUAAUUUUAUCAGCUCUGGGAAAUGAAGAGGCGAACGAUGCCGUUGAGAGUUGCGACCAAGCCUGCUCUAGCUUCUGCAGCGUGCAUGUUGGCAGCGCCACCGUGGUUGCUUAAGCAAAUGCAUCCAACUAGAUCGUCCUUGUGCUGAAUAAUUGGAUAUCGUAUCCACUUAAAGCUGCCUUGUGUAGUACGUCUUUGUGUCUCUCUUUAUAUUCCAAUAAGGUCGGUGAUCUUGAUGCCACACACUCAGAUGUGUGUUCAUCUCCAGAUACUACUCCAUGCUACCUGCCCUUUGUGUUUUGUUCAAUAACUGGGUAUCAUAUCCCAGCCAGUAUGCCGUCUGUUUUGUGUUUGUUUCCUUCUAGUUCCAAAGGGGUCAUCAUGAUGUUACCUUCUUUCAAUAUGGUGCUUUGCAUGACUACUGUUGUAUGGUACCAUCUUGUGGCCAAUAAGUACAUCUUAUCCUAUGACCUUUGCUAUGACCCUUUGCAAAUAAGUAGAAGAUUGUUAUAAGCGUCAAUACUCCGUAUAAAUUGAUCGCUGCUGUGAGUUCCCUUUCAGCUUAUCGUAGGCAUACAUUAUUGCUAGCACGGUAAAGCCAACCAACACGAAUGAUGAAGUAAACGUAGCGGUACUUCUGUAUACCAACACCCUUACUUAAAU
rnacentral:lncRNA from 1 species